AAUACCGGCCCACGACCGAAUCCCGAAAGUUACCGGACGGCCCGUUUACUUCUCUGGGUUUUUUGGGUAAUAUUCCGGCCCAUCCCAGAUCUUCCCGACCCGGUAACCUACACGCUCCGGUUUUCUGAGCCACGAGGUCGACCCCGUGUAUUCUAUCGUGGAAAGGGGAGACGAGCGACCGAGGCGGCGACCGGCGGCGGGGAAAGGCGACGGCGGCGGGGCAAAUCAAGACGGCGCCGACGAGAUCCUCCUCCGGCGACUGAUCCCCGAUACCUGCACCUUGGCCUAUUGUUGGAUUGGAUCAGCCACCUCCAUCUUGGGAACUUGUGAGAACUCCUGUUUUUGAUCCUUGCGGCUACUGCAAUCUUCCACAACAUAAUCAGAAGUCAACAUGGUGACGAAGAGUGGCUUGACCAUGAAGAUGAAGACCUUAUUCCUGUUGCUAACCAUGUUGAUUUGCCCAAUGGGGAUGAUAACCACCAAGGACACAACCUUGCAGGCAAUAACUUGAGAGAUCAAAUAGCAAUGCAGAUGUGGAAUGAUUUCCAACAUGAUUAGCUCUUGUAUCAUGUAGUAGUAAUUUGUUAAUGUAAUAAUGGAAUCAAUGUACUAUGUUUUGUCGGAGAAUAAGUUUGUAAUGGACUCACUGUAAUGAUUGCCAAUAUGUUUGUAAUGGACUCACUGUAUUAUGGUUCCUGUCUUAU